rnacentral:rRNA from 1 species
UACGUAGGGGGCAAGCGUUGUCCGGAAUCAUUGGGCGUAAAGCGCGUGUAGGCGGUCCGGUAAGUCCGCUGUAAAAGUCGGGGGGCUCAACCCUCGGAUGCCGGUGGAUACUGUCGGGCUUGAGUACGGAAGAGGCGAGUGGAAUUCCUGGUGUAGCGGUGAAAUGCGCAGAUAUCAGGAGGAACACCAAUUGCGAAGGCAGCUCGCUGGGACGUUACUGACGCUGAGACGCGAAAGCGUGGGGAGCAAACAGG